GCAUUGUUAGGAGAGAGGCCUAUCGUUGCAGCAGGACAGAAGCGAAACAUUUUCACUGGAAUGUGAAAAGUUGAGAGGGCCGUCACAGGCGUUGCCGUAUUACAGGCAACUACGCCGGGAACUUCCAGUAUUCAUAAUGCCUGGUGACCUUGAAGGCCAUGACACUGGUCCGUUUCGCCCGAUUGACUUUCCUUGGAAGGCCACGUCAAGCUAGCCUCGAGCUUGACUAUUGCUGUUGGGGGGAGGGCACCAUCAUGCUGGAACCAUGCGUCCCGGAGACCCUUCAGAUGAAGGCAAUUGCAAUUGAAGACCAUUCAAAAUUCCGUCGAGGUCCAUUGGUGAUUCGUACCAAGGAGCAGCGCGCUGGCGACGAAGUACAAGAGCAGCAGCAACAGCAGGAGGGUGCAGCAGACGAUCAGCAUGAUCUUCUUCUUGGUGUCCUCGUCGUCUUUGUCUGUCG